UGGGAAAGGAAUCAUACAGAAGGA
rnacentral:piRNA from 1 species